CAGCCGCCGCGGGAAUACGGAGGGUGCGAGCGUUAAUCGGAAUUACUGGGCGUAAAGCGUACGCAGGCGGUUUGUUAAGUCAGAUGUGAAAUCCCCGAGCUUAACUCGGGAACUGCAUUUGAAACUGGCAGGCUAGAGUCUCGUAGAGGGGGGUAGAAUUCCAGGUGUAGCGGUGAAAUGCGUAGAGAUCUGGAGGAAUACCGGUGGCGAAGGCGGCCCCCUGGACGAAGACUGACGCUCAGGUACGAAAGCGUGGGGAGCAAACAGGAUUAGAUACCCCAGUAGUCCCUGUCUCUUAUAC
rnacentral:rRNA from 1 species